UACGAAGGGGGCUAGCGUUGUUCGGAAUUACUGGGCGUAAAGCGCGCGUAGGCGGACCUGCAAGUCGGGGGUGAAAGCCCACGGCUCAACCGUGGAGGGUCAUUGGAAACUGGGGGACUUGAGUACAGAAGAGGAAAGCGGAAUUCCACGUGUAGCGGUGAAAUGCGUAGAGAUGUGGAGGAACACCAGUGGCGAAGGCGGCUUUCUGGUCUGUAACUGACGCUGAGGCGCGAAAGCGUGGGGAGCAAACAGG
rnacentral:rRNA from 1 species